CAGACAUGGAGACUUUUGGACAGAAAUCUGUUUAAUACCCAUCAGAGGAGGAGGGGAGGUGUGUAGGCAGCUGGAAUCAGGCUGGAGUGGCCAGGGCUCGGAGAGGGGAACCUCCAUUUUUCAAAUUCGGGAAGGCUGGCUGUCCUUCGGCGACCGAUAAGGACGCAAGCACAUGCUUAGAAAGAUUUCUGACAAUAUCCGGAAAAGAAAGAGCCGGACCCCCGAGGCAGAGGCUAAGAAUAAGCUGCCGGCGGCCAGAGCUCUGCGCAUGGACAAUAAUGACGACAGGCGUAACUAACAGCCGGCGUUUAUUGAGCGCUUACUGUGUGCCAGGCACUGUGUGAUGCGCUUUGCAGGCAACAACCUUCCGAGAACCCUCGGUCUUGGCGGUGCCACUUCCAGAUCAACUCCAAUAACCCAGCAGGCUUUGACCCCCACCCCCACCCCCACCCCGGACCCCCAGGGGCGCACCCCUGCUGGAACCCCUUUUAGAUCCUGACUCAUUGGUCCUCGCUGCAGCUGCGAACCGCAUGCAUCAUUAUUCUUAUUUGAUGGGAUAAAGUCCAGAAAACGGUACCUCGUCAUUCUUUCAGUGCAUUCCUUCCAUACAUGGGCACUGGAAGCCUGAAGGAUAUUGGAGCUGAGGACACACAUGGGCCCCGGCAUAAGCUCAGAAGCUCACCUUCUCCUGCUCCCGUGGAGUUCCAACUUUCUGGCCUGGUUCCACCACAGUAAAGAACUUUCUUCUCCAGCUAAGGACUAUGGCUCAGACAUAUCAGACAUCUCCCUGAGGCCAUGCCCCUUGACCUCAGGCCUCCACCUUGUAGAUAUCCACUUGGCAGGUUUGAGCCCUAAUAUACCGGAAGCAGGAAUGUUCUAGCUGCUGUACUUGCCAACGUUCUUUCUUAUUCUUUUCUAAUUGUCAUUCCUUCCGCUCAUAAGAGCACAGCUCAUGAGACCAAAACAGUUCAGGCCACAUUUACAAAGCAUCUAUUACAAUGAAAAAAAAUCCCAUAGUGACAUAAGGCUCCACUGUUCACAGGAAAAUGCUGCAGGGACUGUCAGGACGUAUUGGAUAAUGCUCACCAGUUUGGUGACUUUAAAAAAAAUAAUUGAGUCUUGGGCUUGGCUGAUUCAUAAUAAUGAGGGGGAAGCAGUACCACUGGGCUUGUUGCUCUCAAGAUCACUUCAGUGGGAUAUACUUUCACCAUGAACACCCUAAAGAAGACCGUAUGCUCAACUACCAGCUUUUGUCUUUCUGGAAAACCUGUUAACACUGAAUGGUCUUGGUCCUGAUCCAUUCCAAUAAAUAAAUAAACAGGAUUGAAUGGGA